UCCAUGGUGGCUUGGAGGUUAAAGCGUCUGCCUCCAGUGCAGGAGACCUGGGUUCAAUCCCUGGGUCGGGAA
rnacentral:tRNA from 1 species